UGGGACACCAAGAAAGGUGUCCACACCUCCAGGGCAUGCCCCUGGGAAGCCCUGGAAGUAGGCAGAGCUGGGCUCUUUCCUUGCUGGCCAAGGCCAAGUUCUCACACUGGGCCAUGAGGACAGCUCAUCCUUGGGCUUGGGGUUCUUUCAAGCGGAAAAGCCCUCAAGAUCCUUUCCAAGAUCAUGAAACUCUACUGACUUACAAAAUUUUGGCAACAGGAUUUGAUUACUUAUAACUCCCAAACAAAAAGGCCUCUUCAUUGCUAUCUCCACUGGCUGCAGAGAUCGAGUACUUCUGUAUGUGGGAGGUAUGGUGUAGCAUGGAUUUAUCACAGAAAAACAGAGCACUCCUUAUUGAAGAGACACUGUGAAUGCCUCUGAAAGGCUGCAGAACCUGUUGGAGGGGAGUUAAUCAUCCAUUGGUAUUUAUUUCAGCUGAAAGUUAUGCAUGCAAAAUAGCCAUAAAAAAUGGUGGCUUGAUGAAACUUUUCUGCACUGAACUUGCACUAGAGACUUUUUUUCCUUUCCCUCCUAAGUGAUCUGCUUUGGAGUGGAAGUUAAGACUGGAAUAACUGUGCAACUCAAACACGAGCCCUUAGUGAAAACAUUUGAUGCAUAACUUCUCCUUUCCCUGCCCUGCUCUCUCUCCUGUUCUCCUGGGGAAAGAAUGACGAGUGGAAGGUUUUGGUUGCAGAGCUGCUGGCCGCAUCCUUGGAGAUUUCUGCUUGCGCAACCCUCUGGAAGCGAAUCAGCGAUCCAGUAGCUUUCGGGCAGAGCAGAGGCCCUCUCCACAGCUCAGCCUCCUGCUUCGUGGCUGCUCCAGCUCCAGUGCUGCAGGGCCCUUUGGCAGUUCUGCACCAGCCGAGUCCCCACAACAGGGUCAUUGCUGCUACUUCAGGAUAUUUAGCUGAAAUUGGAGAAUGGCAACUGUUUGAGCAUGUUCUAUGAGUUUUAUAAAUACCCCUAACUUCCUCUUUACUUUGUGAUUAGCAAUGGCAAUUUUUGCUUCAAGAGUCUGUUACCUGAGUCCGUAGGGAAUGUACAAGGUCAGAGCCAUAGGAUCUGGAUUACCAAAUCAGAGUAAAAAAACCCAAGAGCAGUCUAACUGCAGGGCCUGGACCAGAAGGCACCUCUGGAAGGCUCCCGGGUGCUGCUUUGAAUCGGCUCUUCCAAUUCCUUGUGCAGGCAAGUGGCAGAGGUAAACUCAGGAGAGAGGCAAGUGCCUCACUCUUGUAGGGCUUGAGGAGAUGG
rnacentral:lncRNA from 1 species